UAAAGCUAUAGAACAUAUUUUUCAUCCCAACAGAAAGAAAACUAAAAGAUCAUAUAUAAUGAGUAUCACAAAAGUCUCUGUCACUUUUUUUCUUGUCAUAAUAUUGACAAUUUCGUUAUCUGGCAACAAUGUUUUAGCCGCUUCAGGACCGAACUGUUUUGCUAAGUGUGCUGAAGGAUACUAUGAAGAUUAUGAAUGCAUCCUUGAUUGUAGACAGAAAGGAUAUGAUUAUGGAGGUUGUGUUCCAAAUCAGAUAUCUGGAAAAUGUUGUUGUACUAGAAAAUAAAAGGGGGUUUUGAUUUUAA